GCAGGGAUAGCAAAGCAUGGCCAAAUGCGAUGGGUUUAGGGCUCAUUCCCGUAGGGGUUCGAGAGUUCAAAUCUCUCUCCCUGCA
rnacentral:tRNA from 1 species